GAAAUGCGAUAAGUAAUGUGAAUUGCAGAAUUCAGUGAAUCAUCGAAUCUUUGAACGCACAUUGCGCCCGCCAGUAUUCUGGCGGGCAUGCCUGUUCGAGCGUCAUUACAACCCUCAGGCCCCCGGGCCUGGCGUUGGGGAUCGGCGGAAGCCCCCUGCGGGCACAACGCCGUCCCCCAAAUACAGUGGCGGUCCCGCCGCAGCGUCCAUUGCGUAGUAGCUAACACCUCGCAACUGGAGAGCGGCGCGGCCACGCUGUAAAACACCCAACUUCUGAAUGUUGACCUCGAAUCAGGUAGGAAUACCCGCUGAACUUAAGC
rnacentral:misc_RNA from 1 species